CAGGUGGUUUUCUGUACCAGGCAUUACCUGUUUAGCUCAGCCUUUUGGAGGUCAGGGAGGAGUGACAGUGGCACUGAGAAGGGACAAGAGACAAGGAGAGCAGACUCAACCUGCAGCAGAGGAAUGGAUGCCUGAGCUAAGUUUUAUAAGAGGGGAAUAAUACCAAAUGAUUUCACUCAUCUGUGGAGCAUAAGAACAAAGAAAAAAGUGAAGGAACCAAACAGCAGAAUCACAGAACCCAAGAAUGGACUAACAGCAAGCAAAGCACGUUCAAGCAGAUCAUCGGAACUAGUGAUAAGAAAGGAGGCUCCAAGUGCAGGAAGAAGAAACUGCACUUGACUGAUACUGCCGGAGGGCCUGGUCUGGAACAUCCCUGGGUAAACACUGAGCGAAAGGGGGACGGCUGGUGUGGAGCACACAGAUCCGAGGGAGGGCUUCAGACGAAUAACCUCUGGAAGAUCUGGGGAUCACACUGUGCGAGGUAAUUUCCUAAGGGACCGUGUUGAAGUGCCUCAUUUUAUUGAAAAUUGGACUGCGAAACAGGGUCAAAUUAAGGGACCUUUCUGAGCAGGUACCUGAGGGGCCUCUUCUCUCUAAUUACCAGGAUCGCACAGUUAAAACAACCCCCGUCGUUCUACCAGGCUCCUGAAGGUGCACAAAUGCAAAGCGCCAUGUUUAUCUGAUAUUCUCUGGAGUGGUCCACCUACCAGAGUAAUGCAAACGGUGUAUUAGGUUAAUUGCUAUUGCAAAACAAAAACAAAAACAAACCUCCAAAUGCCCCCAAACUGCUGGGAAUAUCUGAAAAUAAAUGCAUAAGACCUUGCAAGUAAAAAUACAGUUGUGGCCCCCAAACCUCUUUCCUCAUAAAUCCGGGCAGUUAAAAGUAUGGUGACCAGAUUAUGUUAACCCUUCUGAUAACAAACCAGAGAAGUCCACACAGAUGGUGAGCUGCACCAGGAAGCUCAGACCUGCCCCGGUGACGGGCACCUUGGUAGUCUCGGGGAUGACCUUGAACCAC